rnacentral:rRNA from 1 species
CGGCGGACGGGUGAGUAACACGUGGAUAACCUACCUAUAAGACUGGGAUAACUUCGGGAAACCGGAGCUAAUACCGGAUAAUAUAUUGAACCGCAUGGUUCAAUAGUGAAAGACGGUUUUGCUGUCACUUAUAGAUGGAUCCGCGCUGCAUUAGCUAGUUGGUAAGGUAACGGCUUACCAAGGCAACGAUGCGUAACCGACCUGAGAGGGUGAUCGGCCACACUGGAACUGAGACACGGUCCAGACUCCUACGGGAGGCAGCAGCC